CCCUCUCUAUUUUUCUCUGUUACUUUUUCUCUCCCCUAAACCAGCCAGGUUCACUUUCCUUUUCUCUUCUUCCAUCGCUUUCUUUUUCCAUGGAGCACACUGCAGCCCCAUCUUUAAUUCUUUAUCCCGUCGAUGCUCACCGACCCUCUAGCAGCCGGAUCUAGCUAGUGUGGUUCUGUCCUCCACAAUCCAGGCGCUAGCCCCGGCCGUCCACCUCCGCAGUGCUAGGUCUGGCCGCCUUGAACGAGGUCGGCCAAGAUCCGAUGGCUUCCAUCAUGUACUACAGCGCCCCCGACGCUGCCUCUCCCUCCAGUAGGUCGGUCUCUCCAUCUUGCCAGGCUUUUUCUUGAUCCAGUUUCGGUUCGUGUUGUGUUGCAGAUCCAAAAUCAUGUUCUAAUGUAGAUGCAGACAUUGUUUCUGUGAUGGAUUCUUUAGCUGAACUGGUUUGAUUAGCUUUCCCGAUUGGAUUUUUGAACAGGUUUGGUUCAUUCCAUUUUUAUUGAUCCCUGUGGCACAGAUCAAGUCCGCUAGACCACUAGCAUCUCCAUGCUGAUGCUUUUUGGCUCGAGGACUGUUAUGUGGCCUUGGUUGCAGUGAUUCAAUACUCGUUGCUAGGCAACUUUCCAAUCUCGUUUUUUGUUGUUCAUUUUAGUUUUAAUUUUUUGGUUUCUUUGUUUUUUAUUGCAAGAAUCCUAGCUUUACGGUGCUGGUGGUGAUUAAUAUUUCGUUUCUUCCUGGAUUAGUAUUGUUGGUACUGUUCCUCACAAUAUUUGUGUUGGUUAUACCAUUUGGAUUUUGAUUUUGCGUUAGGAACAUGAUUAAGUGAGGUGCAAUGGCAUUUUCAGAUGUACUUGAUGCUCAAGAUCUGUGCUCCCCUCCGUAUCAUGUUCCUCCUUAUUAUUCACAAAUGUUCUUGAGUAGAGAAAGAAACACCGAGAUUUUCUUCCAUGUUACAUGGAUUCUGAGAGGUACAUUGAUUUGUUCACUUCCUCUACGUUGUCUCUAUUUUUAAGGAUCAAAUAUUUAUCCAUGUAUGUACAUGGUUCAUAUUACUUGAGUUUCUUUGACUUCUCAAAUGAUUUGGUCGCAUGGCCACCCAAAAAAGUUGGUCAUCCAGUUGGAAUCGGGCCAGUAGCUAGUGGUGAUGAGCAUGCUUCUCCACCGGCCGCUCUGCGACAAGGCUCGACGGGGAAGAUUGAGGUCGGAUUUGCGUUCGUGUGUGUGUUUCUAAUUUUUUUCCCUCCAAUGCAAUUUUAGUGGAUCUUUCCUCUAUCGAUUGGCCUCAUGGCAACCUCCCCCGCCAGUAUAUCAUUAUUGCUGGCCACAAGUUUUAUCUCCGUAUGUACUGUUCUGUUCUAUUCUCUUGAUGAACUAAGAAAAGUCUAUACAUGGCCCAUAUUUCUAGUAAAAAAUGAGUUCCUUUUGUUUAACAAUAAGUUUUGGUCGCAUUGAUAAAAAGGUUAGCCACCGAGCUGGAAUUGGCCAGCUAGUGGUGAUGGAUUCUUCAGCUGAGCUGAUUGAUUAGCAGAUUGUGAUGGAUAUUUUUAGAUGUGUUUGAUUCUACGAUUUCUUCUUUGAUGCCCCUGCCAGACAACCUGUGCCCCCGCCAUCUCGUUACCAUUGCUCUUAGCUCCAGGUGUACGACAUCUCGUCAUGCCAUUUUUCAUUUCUUUUUAGAAUUUUUUUGCUGCUUAAAUUUGUUUGGAGCAGUGAAGGAAACACAUUGAAUUACAUGGAUUCAGAGAGGCAUCGACAGAAGGAAACUACAGCUUUAAUUUUUCUGUUUGCCUUCUUUGCUCGAGCACUCUGGACGUAAAUUUUUCAAGACCCCGUUUGAAGAUUCAUAUUCAGCUGGUGGCGAAUCACAUCUGUUAUCUUUCAAUCUGUGGUGGAGUUGUUCCACUAGUUUCGGUUGUUGCAGAACAAAGGGAAAGAAGAGCUCGAGGUGUACGCCUCACAGCCUCAUCAACUCGCUUGCUGGAAGAUGGUACUAGUACAUUUUUCUCCCUUUCGAUAAGAAUACACAGAGUAGUGAAAAGUCAAACCAACGUUUCUUCGGAAGGGAGCAAGCACUUGCAAUAGACAUGAAUGUGCGUCCAACUUUAUUUCUGUUCUCUUACAGAUACAUGGUCCAUUUCUUUUGGCUAAUCCCUCUCUUUCAAUUUA